ensembl:lncRNA
UUGGGCCUGGUUAGUACUAGGUUGGGAGACUGAAGGGGAAUACUAGGUGCUGUAAGCUUUUUACUUGGAUCAGUGUUUUCAUGGCCUCUGCACAACAUCCUGUUUUGGGAUAAAGGUUGGACACAGGUUUGAAGGGGACCCAAUCAAUCAAUCAAUCAAUCAGUCAGUCAGUCAGUCAGUCAGUCUUUUGAUUACACUAUUUAAAUAGGCCCCAUUUGGGGUCAGCUGUCGCUUACGGCCAUACCACUCUGAAAAAGCCUGAUCUCAUCUGACCUCGGAAGCAAAGCAGAGUUGGGCCUGGUUAGUACUUGGUUGGGAGACUGAAUGGGAAUACUAGGUGCUGUAAGCUUUUUAUUUGGAUCAGUUUUUCAUGGCCUCUGCACAACAUCCUGUUUUGGGAUAAAGGUUGGACACAGGUUUGAAGGGGACCCAAUCAAUCAAUCAAUCAAUCAAUCAAUCAGUCAGUCAGUCUUUUGAUUACACUAUUUAAAUAGCCCCCAUUUGGGGUCAGCUUUCGCUUACGGCCACACCACUCUGACGGCGCUAGUGAGUAGCACUUGAGAAGUAGGGAGUUGGCUGCAGUUGGUGAGAGAGGCUCACCAAAAUCUUUG